GGGCUCAAUUCGGCAUGGCGAAUUUGACGUUUCACGUUGACUCUCAAAUGAUAGUGGAUUGGAUCACGGGUUGUCGAAUACGUGCAGCUGUCAUCUGGAUUGGUACUAGGUUGGGACUAGAGCUCAGGCAAUGUACCGGAUAAAAUUUUUGUAACAUUUAUUUUUGAUGGAGUAUUUUUUAAGUUUUGAGUAUUUUAAAAGAACGGACUUCUAUCUUUGAAAUAAAUAACAUAUGACAUUUUUAUCACCUCGUAUCUCCAUUUUCACUGUUACUUGAAGUAAAAUGUUUUUUUGCUAAUAGACGGUCGUCGUCGUGCCAGCUACACCAAAAAAUAUUUAAAAAAAAUAUUGCUUAAAAAUAUGUUAGUUGAUUAAUCUCUUUGACUCAAAACUUCGCGAUACGUCCGAGCCUUUCUAACAAAAAGAUAAAAUAUUCACAAAUAACACCUAUUUGUAGAAAUCCUAAGCACGGCAAACGAUUAAAUUCCCUUUUUUGGGUCAAACUUGUAAUACUGGCAAUACUUUUGGUACACACUUUUGGUCUGCAUUUUGCUAACGUGUCACGACUCUAGUAUUGAUUCUACUUUGAUUUUACUCUUGUGUCAAAGUGACAGAAUGAGAUUGCAAUUCGAAUCAUCAUAUCAUUACAAAGAUAUGAAUUGCGUAAUUUUACACGAAUUUAAUCUCUCAUGGCCUGACAAUACGAACCAAGGCAUGCGUUCUCCUGAAUGGCACAGUAUAUAGACUUUUUUGUCGAUGGGUAUGGCCGCCAUGUUUGGUUUAUGACACUUAGACGGGGAUUUUGUCGUACCAAAGAGUAAAUUGCAAGUUUUUUUCGGCACAACUUGGUUCCUCUACUCGUCGCAAGAUGGCGUUGGCAUUAUUAAAAUAAACAAGAAUGACGUGCAUUUGCGUCGGUGUAGACCCAUCAUGAAAACGUAGAUAUGAUAAUUUUAUAUUUAAAAAAAAGCUAACGUGACAUAAAUUUGACAAAUGUCUAAAAGAAAUAUAGUAUCUUCUGUGUAAUAUCUUCUUCCGUGCACGUGUGAUUUAUUGUUUAGUCAAUUUAAAUAUCACUCUAAGUAAGAACUGUUAGACAAAACACUCGUAGCAUAAUUGUAUAUUUCAAUAUAUCACAGCCAUACAUUUUUAUAUUCUUUCAGGUGAUUCAGCUUACCCACAGAGGCAAACACUACUGAUGGAUGCACUGACUUUUGGAUGCACCUGUAGGAUCUCCAGAAGCUCGUUAUACCGCUUUACAAGUUCGAGCCCGCAACUGUAUAGAGCGGUGUUUUGGGCGACUAAAAAUCAGUUGGUAGUGUUUGUCGUCAAUGGAGAAACUGCACUACAAGCCAGCAGCGGCAGCUAAGAUCGUUAAAACGUGUUGUGUGCUUGACAAUAUAGCUAACAAAGCGAAUUGUGAACUGCCUCCGCUGAACCGACACGAAGAACAGGAGCAGCAGCAGGAGCAGAGAUUAGCGGCGGAGUUUGACGCCCGUCAGCAGAAUGCUGAUAUUUAUUUGGCAAUGGCUCCUGACAGGUGUUGGCUAAACAAAGAGCUGCAGCUGGGUCGCGCUGCUCGUCAAGCGCUUGUCCGGCAGUUAGCAAAUUAUUGAUUCUUCAUCGGACCAAGGCCGAUUUGUUCAGGACCAAUUUUCGGAUCUCCUGGGCUUCCUGGAACAAGGACUAGUGAUUGUUUCGAGGAGCUGUCAUGGUGUUGGCUCUUGAUAUUUUAUCGUGAAACGCAGAUUUAAUGAUGAAGGCGCGUCGGAACCCAAACGUCAAGAAUCGCCGACGUUCACAGAAGCAGCUACAAUGAGCGGAGAAUCUGAGAGCCAGGAAUGCGGAGCACCUUGCUACUACUAAAAUGGAGAACCCGGACCUGUUAGCGACAUGGAACUGACCAGGACCGUCGUGGGCUCCUCAUGUGCCACCCCG
rnacentral:misc_RNA from 1 species